AUGUGGCGUGUUGGAGCCGCGGUUAGGUCGUUUCGCUGGCGAGUUAGAAGAGGCGGAGGAGUUAGCGUGCGCGGGGCGGGGGCGGCGCGCAUACGUACACACUAUAGAGCACAAUGCGGCAUCGGGCUGCGUCGACGUGGUCUGCGCGCCCGCGUCCUGCCCGCGCCGGCUGUCAUAAAUAUACUCAACAUGGCAGCCGCUGCCUCCACAACAGCGCCGACUGAAGCCCGAGAAGCCGCGUCAGCCAGCCUCGGCGUGACGCGGCCGCACUUUGUAUAACCUGCACGCCACUUGCGAUUGAUCAUUAUACUCUAUUGCGCUCAAAAUGUACUAUGCAAUGCGAUUUAAUAAUAAAUCUGAUUUAAAUUGAA